CUUCGGCCCGUUAGAUUGGCCAGAUGCUUUUUCCCCUAAUGCUUUGCGCGGCCGGCCUGUGGGUCCCUGAGUGGGAGAGUGGGUGGCAGGCGCGGAGAAGCUGCUGCAGGUGGUGGGCGAGCGGCCCGGGCUGGGGCGACGCUCCGAGGGCGGGAGAGGGUCUGACUGCGGGCUCACCUGCUCUUGCGGGAAGGAAGUAGUACCUGGGGAGCGAGGUGUCUCCUCAUAUACUGCUUACAGCUAUCCUGUGAGGUCGACAUGACAGGCACGAGGCCUGAUGCAUGGACAAGUGACUUUCUGGGAUCACGAAGCUGGCCUAGGGACCUUUCCUUAGUGCAUUGUCUCUGGCCAGCCAGACUGCAUCGGUCUGAGAACGAGUUGACCAGAGAGACAACCCACUGCUAUGCAAGACCCGCGGAAAAAUGUUUAAAGUGCCUGAUUUUGUUGCCAACCUUUAAAAAUUCUGAACAAAGGACAAAGACUUUCAAUUUCCUACUCUUCUUGAAGCACCAAAACCAUCCAGCAACGCUUGUGCUGUUCCUCUCACAGCCAAGACACUGCUGCCCCCUACAGCCUAGAAUCAAACCUAGAAAGUGCUGAGGUGAAAUGUGACAAGUACAGCC
rnacentral:lncRNA from 1 species